rnacentral:rRNA from 1 species
AUGGCCAAGAUGGCCGUAAAAUUUAAAGACACCGCUGACCGUUGCCAGUUCCUUGAAGAAGAGAACCGAGUGAAGGCAGCGGACCUUGAAAAGGCCACGGUGGAGACCAAAGACACCCGCUCUGCUAUGAGGGAGAAGAAGGAGGAGCUGCGUGAAGCCGGGGAUAUUGCGGCUGGGAAGCCCUUUCUGCUGCAGAGGAAGUUCGGAGAUCCGCGGUAUGCCCCUCUAGAUCAGCUGUGGAGUUCGGCAGACGCAUAUAUGGACUUGGCAACGAGCGCUGUCGAUGUGGUCGAAUACUUUCGAGAUCAGACAGAUCGUGAAGUGGACAAGCUGUUCUGGUCGCAAUUUAACGUUCCAGAGCGUCCGCUUCCCUUGACUGAUCAGCUAGCCGAAUGGGCCGAACUUAAUAGAUUGUCCGGACUUGCCACGAGGUCCGUUGUAGAUCAUCUGUGGCCGGGGAAGCCGAAGUCGAACAACUAUUUCAGCUUAGUGCAGCAGUUCCUUGGUGCGGUGCCGCGCAUCAAUGCGAUGAAGAGGUCAGCGUGCAUAGAAGGCUCGCGGAUGGCCCUUGCCCGUGUCAAAGUAUACUGGGCGAAGAUGGAUGCUACCACUAUUGCGGCGCAGGGUUCGGCCAUAGGCCGAGUGGCUGCCGAGCACUAUUUUGAAAAAGUUCUUGAGGGUGCUCGUUUGAUAGAGGCCCAGUGCUUGAAGAAUAUUAUGUUUGAGUGA